ACGAACGCUGGCGGCGUGCUUAACACAUGCCAGUCGAACGGAAAGGCCCUGCUUUUGUGGGGUGCUCGAGUGGCGAACGGGUGAGUAACACGUGAGUAACCUGCCCUGACUUUGGGAUAACUUCAGGAAACUGGGGCUAAUACCGGAUAGGAGCUCCUGCUGCAUGGUGGGGGUUGGAAAGUUUCGGCGGUUGGGGAUGGACUCGCGGCUUAUCAGCUUGUUGGUGGGGUAGUGGCUUACCAAGGCUUUGACGGGUAGCCGGCCUGAGAGGGUGACCGGCCACAUUGGGACUGAGAUACGGCCCAGACUCCUACGGGAGGCAGCAGUGGGGAAUAUUGCACAAUGGGCGGAAGCCUGAUGCAGCAACGCCGCGUGCGGGAUGACGGCCUUCGGGUUGUAAACCGCUUUCGCCUGUGACGAAGCGUGAGUGACGGUAAUGGGUAAAGAAGCACCGGCUAACUACGUG
rnacentral:rRNA from 1 species